rnacentral:tRNA from 1 species
GAGAUAUUAGUAAAAUAAUUACAUAACCUUGUCAAGGUUAAAUCAUAGGCUAAAUCUAUAUAUCUUA